rnacentral:rRNA from 1 species
GUGUCAGCAGCCGCGGUAAAACGUAGGAGCCUAGCGUUAUCCGAAUUUACUGGGCGUAAAGCGCGUGCAGGCGGCUUUGUAAGUUGGCUGUGAAAUCUCCUGGCUCAACUGGGAGGGGACGGUCAAGACUGCGAAGCUGGAGGACGGUAGAGGGAGGUGGAAUUCCCGGUGUAGUGGUGAAAUGCGUAGAGAUCGGGAGGAACACCAGUGGCGAAAGCGGCCUCCUGGGCCGUACCUGACGCUCAGACGCGAAAGCUAGGGGAGCGAACGGGAUUAGAAACCCCGGUAGUCCUAGCCGUAAACGAUGUAGACUUGGCGCUGGUGGGGUAAAAGCCAUCUGUGCCGCAGCCAACGCGGUAAGUCUACCGCCUGGGGACUACGGCCGCAAGGUUAAA